rnacentral:rRNA from 1 species
UACGGGGGGGGCAAGCGUUGUUCGGAAUUACUGGGCGUAAAGGGCUCGUAGGCGGCCAACUAAGUCAGACGUGAAAUCCCUCGGCUUAACCGGGGAACUGCGUCUGAUACUGGAUGGCUUGAGUUCGGGAGAGGGAUGUGGAAUUCCAGGUGUAGCGGUGAAAUGCGCAGAUAUCAGGAAGAACACCCGUGGCUAAGGCGGCUCUCUAGUACGGUACUGACGCUGAGACGCGAAAGCGUGGGGAGCGAACAGG